GGUUUUGAUUAGUUAAUCCUAGAGGUAUCGUGAAACAUUUUGGUCAUUUUAAUCCUUAAAAUCUAUAUUUGUGACAAUACUUUUUUAGGGAUAUUUGAAGAUAUCUAUCUAUUAUUAUAAAAAGAUGUUGUUGACCCUACUGCGAGGCGACGUGGAAACUAUCUCAGUAUAGAGGCGACGCGUGUCCAACCUUCCCGAAACGCACAGCUUUAUUUAUUCUAAAUCUAAUGGGCUUUAAUCGUUUGCCCACUGCGGCCCAAACAAACAAAGUUCGUUCCUAACCCUAAUUCUAAUGACGCGGAUUCUUCUCUCCUCUUCUUCAACGUGCCGACACAACUUCAUCUUUCGUAAACUGACCAUGGAAUUUGUUGAAGGUGAUGGGAGACGAGAUUCUAAAGCUGAUCUAAGUGGUGUUAAUCUGUUCGUGUCCUUAGAAUGAAUUUCUUUACGCUAGAUAAGAGAAAUUCGAACCGUUACGGGAUGCAAUCAAUCGUCGUCAUUAGUGAUCAUCUUAACUGCUUAAUUCCACUUUUACCACGAUUCCUCAUCCAAUAGCCAUGUUCGUUUCAUAGACGCCGCAUCCGGCGGCUGCGUCAACAAAAUGAUCCGUGACGUGACGGAGACAAAAAUAAAAAAGCUAGAGACGCAGAAAACCCAAAGUAGUAGCUAAAAUAUUGCAGGAAAGGCAAAAAUUUAGACGCUGAUGACGCUGCUUUAUUUCGCGUCCGUUAUAUUGGCUAGUAGCUGCCGCAGUGACUGAAAAUCAGUGAAUUGUGCUUCACAGGUGCUGUGUGUUUCUGUCAUUAAAGACUUAAUUUUUUGACGCAACCACCUGAAUCAGCGCGAAGAAACGAACAGGGCUAAUGUAUCUGCCCUCCCUUUCAGUCGGUGAAUCUACAUGUAUAAAAAGAUACCUCUGGUGAUGUUGAGAAACAAACGCCUCCCUUUUCCUUAAAGAUCUACAUAUAACGUUAGGAAUAGAGUUCAUGGUGUUCUGGAGUUUCUGGUUUCAUAACUAGAACAUGGAGUUUUGGGAAGGUGAUGGGAGACGACUAUUUACGGUGAAUCUCUGGAGUGAGCUGCCGUUUGUUCUGGCUUUCUUCUCGCUGGCAAAUGGAAACCCGAAUUAUGGGUUUUUAGUGUUUAAUCUAUCCUUCCAGUCCCGGAUUGCAAACUUUAUACGGGUCAUAGCAUUAUAAAUUGAACCUGAUCAACAUGAGCCAAGCUAAUCACAUGAGAUCUUUGAGUGAGAGUCAAUACCUAUGGCAAGACAACUGAUUUUGCUUAUAAUUAUAUCAUCAUAUAAUUGAAAAUUUAAAACCUCAUGUUGGAGACAAAUUACAAUUAUAAAAAUGAGAUUCCUGUUGUUUUAUCUAUCCUUGCAGGCCCAGAUUGUAGACUUUCAAAUGAAAGUUGUUCAAGUAGAUGUUACAGAAGUUUUCUGACAUAUGGAGUUGUGUUGGAAGCAUGCUGGUAGCUCACGAUUUGUCUCUCACUUUUAAGGAAAAAUAAAUACAGAUUCGAAUGAGAAUGUUCUGCUUAUACGGGUUUGACGAUCUUUGGAAUCUAUCAUGGUGAUCACGACAUUGAUGGCUGUCUAUGGUUUUAAACUAGAGUAGCUUCCUUCAAUUUAAAUUAUUCUCAGAAAAAUGUAGUGUUACGAAAUAGAUGGUGAAGAUAUAUAAUGGGCAUGUCUAUUUUUAUUGUUCAGAUUAAAAGAGAAGUAUCCAAUAUUAUUGUGAGAGUGGUAGUUGGUAAACUUUUGCUGUCACGAAUAUAGAGCUCUCACAUGUAAGACGCCAACAUAAACUAUAAUGUGAGUUUCUUCUUUUCUUUUAUUGUUCUUUCCACAUAUCUCUAAAUAUUCUAUGUUUUAUACGUUCUUACUAAUGCAACUCUUGGAUAAGAACCAUACAACAGGAAAGACUAGAUGUUUUAUGUUUUCCUCUGUUCUUAUCAGAAAAUGUAUUUUUCUUUCUGUUUUAGCUAAUUUAGAAUGGAAGGUUAGUUUGUUUAGAUCACUGAGGAAGCUAGAGAGCUUGAAAAGCAACUCAGACAGACCACUUAGGAGAAGAAUGAAGCUGUGCGAGGCCAAGACUUUGGGAAGGUGUUGUCUUUGAGUUUUCUUACUGUCUAUAAACCCAAGAUAAGUGUUGUCCGAUAAAUCUAGCUGUCUUUUCCAAUAUUGAGCAGAGCCUCCACGCCGGUUAUUGGCCAACACGAAGCUGUCAAAGCCAUUAACCGGGAGAUUCGACGUGCAUGUGCUGGGCUAAAGAAUCCGAACCGCCCAAUCACAAGUUUCAUUUUCAAUGUUAAACGAUUUUUCUUUAAAGUGUUCUAUGUACAUUAUAUUUUAUGUAAUUCUUUCAUGCUGCUUGACAGAUUUGUAAACUAUGCAUUUUAAAAAAUGUACUAAUCAUUUCUCAUA